rnacentral:tRNA from 1 species
AGGAGAUGGUGUAAUGGAAGCACUGAAAGUUUUGAUCUUUUUAGUGGAGGUUCAAGUCCUUCUUUCC